rnacentral:rRNA from 1 species
GAUGAACGCUGGCGGCGUGCCUAAUACAUGCAAGUCGAGCGAACAGACGAGGAGCUUGCUCCUCUGACGUUAGCGGCGGACGGGUGAGUAACACGUGGAUAACCUACCUAUAAGACUGGGAUAACUUCGGGAAACCGGAGCUAAUACCGGAUAAUAUAUUGAACCGCAUGGUUCAAUAGUGAAAGACGGUUUUGCUGUCACUUAUAGAUGGAUCCGCGCCGCAUUAGCUAGUUGGUAAGGUAACGGCUUACCAAGGCAACGAUGCGUAGCCGACCUGAGAGGGUGAUCGGCCACACUGGAACUGAGACGCGGACCAGACUCCUACGGGAGGCAGCAGUAGGGAAUCUUCCGCAAUGGGCGAAAGCUUGACGGAGCAACGCCGCGUGAGUGAUGAAGGUCUUCGGAUCGUAAAACUCUGUUAUUAGGGAAGAACAAAUGUGUAAGUAACUAUGCACGUCUUGACGGUACCUAAUCAGAAAGCCACGGCUAACUACGUG